CCUACGGGAGGCAGCAGUGGGGAAUAUUGGGCAAUGGGCGAAAGCCUGACCCAGCAACGCCGCGUGAAGGAAGAAGGCUUUCGGGUUGUAAACUUCUUUUGACAGGGAAGAGCAGAAGACGGUACCUGUCGAAUAAGCCACGGCUAACUACGUGCCAGCAGCCGCGGUAAUACGUAGGUGGCAGGCGUUGUCCGGAUUUACUGGGUGGAAAGGGCGUGUAGCCGGGCUGACAAGUCAGAUGUGAAAUCCGGGGGCUCAACCCCCGAACUGCAUUUGAAACUGUUGGUCUUGAGUAUCGGAGAGGCAGGCGGAAUUCCUAGUGUAGCGGUGAAAUGCGUAGAUAUUAGGAGGAACACCAGUGGCGAAGGCGGCCUGCUGGACGACAACUGACGGUGAGGCGCGAAAGCGUGGGGAGCAAACAGGAUUAGAUACCCCAGUAGUC
rnacentral:rRNA from 1 species